rnacentral:tRNA from 1 species
UCCCUGGUGGCUCAGACGGUAAAGCGUCUGCCUGCAAUGCAGGAGACCUGGGUUCGAUUCCUGGGUCGGGAA